UUAAAAGUCAUAUCCUGCAAAAAUCUUUGGCGUACUUUGACUAACUUUGUGUAUCUUCUAUUUGUUAAUAUAUUGGUCACCAUCAAAUUAAAGUCUGAUUUAGAUAAAUAGAAUGAAUACAUGAAAAAAAGACAACAUUUGUUGUUAAAUGUAUCAAUUGUAUUAUCUUGUAUAUAUCAAAUUUAUGUAACGUUUUGACUCGAUCGUUAUGAAUAAGAUUUGGGGCCUGAAAACUCUCCGAGUAGGGGCUUAAAAAUUUUCAGCUAAGUGCACAUAGACUCUGGGUUAGGUGAGGUCAUGGGACAUUUGGAAAUUGGUGGGGUGUGAUUUCAAGAUUUUGUUGCUAUAUUUCUGUACCCAAGAACUUAAGGAGUCCAUAAGACAUUUCGGAAUUAAAUUUGGAUAAUUAGUAGACAUUUGGGAAUUGAACUUGACGUAUGUGUUGCGACAUCAAUAUAAGAGUCUGUGCUGUAAAAAUGGCCUUGUUUCGAAGAUUGAGUUUCUGAAGUUUUGUGGAGGCCACUAUAGCGGGAAGCAUGCAUCCCACUUUAGAAGAUUGUGUAGACCGUUAUUGCACCAAAUUGGGAUUAAGAGCAGAAAAAACCCACAAAUCCUAUUUUAUGUACUUUGUGUUCUUGGAUUUAGAAGGGGCUACUUUGGAUUCAGAUAAGUAGACCUUCCAGAAUUGAACUUGACGUAUGCGUCUGGACAUCAAUAUAAGAGUUUGUGCUGUAAAAAUGGCCUUCUUUCGGAGUUUGUGUUUCUAAAAUUUCGUCGAGGCCGCUAUAGCGGGAGGCAGCCCACUAUAGCCGAGUGUGUAGACCGCUAUAGCGAGGGUAGCUAUUUCUAUAGCGCACCAAAUCAGGAUUUUAGAGCAGAAAAAAAUAUGAAACUCCUAUUUUCUGUACUUUGGUACUUAGACUUAGGAGGGGAUAUCUUGGGCAGGUAGCACCUGUUUCCAUGGAUUUCACAAUAAAGGUAAGAACUUGCUAUCCAUCCUUAUAAUGAAUUGAUUCUUAAGCCUUAGAAUUUAGGUUAUUACUUUUGGGGGAUGGUUUUGACAUGAUUCCACGGUGGGAAGGAGCCCUAAGUUGGGGAAGAUGGUCAUAUUUUUGCAUAGGUUUAGGAUUUGUUGACAAUCUGGGAAAAUUAUAGGCCACUAAUGAUUGAUUGUUAUUUAUAUUGUUUUUUAAAAUCAAGAACAAGUUAAGGCGCUUCGCAAGGGGAAAGUUCUUGAUUUUUCAAAGUUUUCAAGAGGCUUGAUUCGAGAGUACAAGGCAUCUUUCGACAGUUGAUUUUGAGACAUUAGUGGAGAGACGUUUGAUUUGGAAUCCCUGGGCGAGCUUCAUCUUUCAAGAUGUAACCGUUAUAAGAUGAGCUAUUUUUGUUGUUGUACCUGUGAUAAUUGGCGUACUGCGACCAAGGAAGCUAAAGGAUCAGCUCCAGGGGAGGCAAUAGGAGGGUUAUUGAAAUUA